rnacentral:rRNA from 1 species
UACCCGCAGCACAAGUGGUGGUCAUUAUUAUUGGGCCUAAAGCGUCCGUAGCUGGCCUGUUAGAUGCCUGGGUAAAUCGAUGCGCUCAACGUAUCGAAUUCCGGGUAGACCGGCAGGCUUGGGACCGGGAGAGAUGUGAGCUACUCGAGGGGUAGGGUAAAAUCCUGUAAUCCUUCGGGGAGGACCAGUGGCGAAGGCGUCACAUUAGAACGGCUCCGACAGUGAGGGACGAAGCCCUGGGGCGCAAACCGG